rnacentral:lncRNA from 15 species
CUGUUGAGCUCUAGUUUGAUUCAAUAAUGUCAUUCUGUUCUCUCUUCUAUCUUUUCAUCUGAUUUAUUCACAGUUCAGUCUGAUUGGAUUUGGAUCAUCAUUCUUCUUUGCAUCGAGCAUCAUCAUUCUUCUUUGCAUUAAUGUGGUGCAAAUUAUCAUUCUGAUAAUAUACAUAAAGUGGAUCCAGAGAAUGGAAUCAAACCGGAUGUAGAUGUAACACAUGGUGAUAAACAGGCACACGAGACACUUUAAAACACAGAGAGACGCAGCGUUGAACGACGUGGACUAAAAACCUCCUGUAGUGACCGAGAACGAGGAGGAAAUCAUUGUGACACUGGAGGAUAUUCUCCAUCUUUUCCUGCUCUACCAUCACACUGACAGAGAAUGAUGAUGUUGUUUGUAUUCCUAGUUUACAAUCUAUCCAUUGUGACUUUGUUUUCAGUCUAUGUGAGCAGGUGUUGUCUUUGAGCCAGUGAAAAGGCUGCAGACACACAGUGAAGAAGGGAGAUCUUAAUGAUGUUGGUGUCCAGUCUAAGAUAUGAGCUGUGACUGAAGAUUCCUGCUUUAAUUUCAUGGAUUGUAUCAAAGUUCCCACUUUAGCACUUUAAAAGAAUCUGAACUGUUUUGUAAAAUGUCAACAGGUUGUGUACAAAAGGCUGUGACUGUGUUUAAUAUUCAUUAUUAUCAUCAUCAUCCAUUCUCAUCUGUUUAAACACAGAACUGUUCACUGUAUAUAUUUAUAUUAGUUUAAUUUGAUUAGUUUAUCUACAAAAUAAAAGUCUGCAUUGUUCUCCUUACACUGUGUGCUGGUUGAGAUUUGUCCUGUAAGUAGCUGUGGAUGUGACAGGAUGCUCCUUUAGUUUCUGGUUUUAGUGACAAUGAAAAUACCGAUCUUGGCAUUAACCUCUGUUCACAUUGAAGCAUUUAUUUUUGCACUUUUCUGUAUUUAUAAUUAAUUAACUGCUGUCUGUAAGUCAAAUUAAAGUGUUACUGUACUCAGCACAACUAUUAAAACCUAUCUAUCAAUAGAUC